UCCUCUUGAUCUUCAAAUGGGUAUGCUCCGACCAACAUAACAUACAGAGUCACUCCACAAGACCAUACAUCUGCCAUCUUCCCAUCAUAUUCUCUCCUAGAAAAAACCUCUGGGGCAAUAUAUGCUGGAGUGCCAACUGUGGAUUUCGGUCUUGAAUGCAGCAAGGAUGACUUAGAAUAACCAAAAUCACAGAUUUUCACACGUGGUG
rnacentral:misc_RNA from 1 species